GUGGGUGUAGCUCAGUGGUAGAGCACUUGACUGUGGCUCAAGACGCCGCGGGUUCGAACCCCGUCACCCACC
rnacentral:tRNA from 1 species